rnacentral:lncRNA from 1 species
GGCUAGGGGUUGAAUUGGAGCUACAGCUGCUGGCCAACACCACAGCCACAGCAACAAGGGAUCUGAGCCACGUCUGUGACCUACACCACAGCUCACAGCAACACGGGAUCUUUAACCCACUGAACAAGGCCAGGGAUCGAACCUGCCUCCUCAUGGAUGCCAGUCAGAUUUGUUAACCCCUGAGCCACAACGGGAACUCCAAAGAUAUACUUUACUUUUAUUUUUUUAUUUUUAUUUUUUUUUCAGUUCUGAAAUUUUAUUUUUAUUUUUUACAGAAUAAAAUACAUACAUUUAAACACAGUUACAUUCACACAGAUUAUUAUAUCAUGGAUCUUAAGAAACAGGUUAAGUGACUUCCACUGGAGAAGUGGAAUGGAAAAUAUGCUGAGACAAAUAGGAAAUUUAUUCUAUACUUUAUCCCAUUUUUAUGGCGUUCAUCUUUACUACUUAGUUUUAUCUAUUACAUUUCAAUUUUUCUUUAAAAAUUAGCAUUAUAUUAAAAUUGUUAUAUGAUGCAACUAAAGUGUAUAAAGAAGAAAGCCUUAUAUACCAUUAAAUAUUUUAUAUAGCAUAAUAAAAAGAAUAACUUAACUGGCAAGAAUAACAAAAAUAAUACACCCUCUGAAAAUAAGUAAAAUAUAAAAUGCAUAAAUUGGUUAAAAAACAACGUAACUAUAUAAAUAUGUCCUCACAAUUUGUUACGUCUUAUUAAAAAUAUACUUUAAAAUAGGAAAUUCUUGCUUAUAUUUUUAUCUGUUCAAAUAUGCAGCAGUCAAUUCCCUGAGAGUUCACCACCAAUGACUGAACAUGAAAUAAGCAGACCUUGCUGUUCAUUACAGAGCUGUAAAUUACCAUGUAAACAGAUGUCUCAGCUAAAAUCUGCAGCGAGGAACAUGUUAGAAACAGAGGAACUGUGUUCUUUUUAUCUAUGUGUAUUCACAAAAGUAAUUUUUUUUGUUGCUUAAUGGGGGAGAAGGAGGUUGUUUGAAGUCACUGGAACAGCGUAGUGUUUAAAUUAUACAAGUUUUGCAGUGAGUUAGUUUCACCUAAGGGUUUCAUCCACCAAGGUAGGUAGAAGCAUUAUUUAAAUCAAGAGUUAGUUUUAUAACUAGAAAGAAUACAAAGUAUGUUAUUAAACGUGAUAAUUUUGUUCAGUUCUUCCUUUUGGCUGGACCCAAUUACAUUUAAUCAGAGAGUCAAAAUCUCAUUAAAAUGAUUAAAAUAAUUUUUAAUUUUUUGGAGAAAAGCUUUAUGUGAUUUUUUUUUCCCCCAUGAAUUUUGGAUAGUAUUUGUAAGCUUUUGAAACUUUAGAUUUAAACUAAAAUAUGAUACAGUAGGUUAUUAAUAUGGGGUUCAGUCAAUAAAUAUUCUCAUUUGUUGGAGUAAAAGCAUUUCUAUUGUGAAGAUUUCCACACCUUUGUAUAAGGGCACACGAAUUUGCUGGCUCCUCCAUCACCCUGAGUUUUAUGCUUUGUUAGACUAUUAUAUCUUAUAAUGUGACCAGAGGAAAGCAGGCUAGUAUUAAUUAAUAAAAAUUAAUCAGGCAAUUAAUUUUUCUGGCUUAUACCUAAGGACUAGGUACAGAUCCUAUUGACUCUUGUUCAUACACAAGGCAUGAAUUUACAUCCCCUGAUACUGCAGCCUGUUGGAUGGCUCCAUCUGUAAAUAAAUAUUUUUUAGAUUCCCACUUCCUUGUAACUAAUUGGAAGUGCAUUUUGUCCUCUGAGACAGACUCUAAUAAGGGUGUUAAUAAUUAAUAUUAAGUAUGGCUGGUAAUUUGGAGAAUUAUCAUAAGUGCUAUAGUUUUCAGAGGACUUUCGUCCUUUUUUUUUUUUUGCCUUUUUAGGGCCUCUCUAGUGGCAUGUAGAAAUUCCCAUGGGGAACUAGGGGUCAAAUCGGAGCUGCAGCUGCUGGCCUACCCCACAGCCACAGCAACACCGGACCCAAGCCGCCUCUGUAACCUACGCCACAGCUCAGGGCAACACCAGAUCCCUGACCUACUGAGAGAGGCCAGGGAUCGAAUCUGCAUCCUCACGGAUACUAGUCGGAUUUAUUUCCACUGUGCCACAAAGGGAACUCCCUUUCAGAAGACUUUCAACUUUUUUUUUUCCAUCAUGGAUGAGCUAUUGCAGACUGUAUGUGAUAGAUAUAGAAUCUGCAAUCUCUGGAGGAGGGGGCGUGUGCUCCUGCUGGAGAUGGGGGUUUUUCCCCAGACCUCUCAGUUAGAAUGCAUGCUCUCAUUGGUUGAGAAGGAUGGCAUCCAGGCACCGUGGGUGUCUGUAGGCAUCGUGGUUCUAGACAUCACACAGAGUUAAGUCAGAAAAGAAAACAUGGCCCCUGAGCUUUAAAAACUGAUGGACUAGUUUCAGGUGUACAGCGAAGUGAAUCAUUAUACACAUGCAUAUGUCCAUUCUUGUGUCCCAGAGAGGUUGUCACAGAAUAUUGAGUAUGUUUUCCUGUAUUAAACAGUAGGUCUUUGUUAUCUAUUUUAUGUAUAGUAGUGUGUAUAUAUUAAUCCCAUCCUCCUAAUUUACCUCCCACCCCACACACAUGGUUUUUCCCCUUUGCAAUCAGAAGUUUGGUUUCAAAAUCUUUGAGCCUGUUUCUGUUUUGCAAAUACAUUCCUUUGUAUCAUUUUUAUUAGAUUCCACAUAUAAGUGAUACCAUAUGGUAUUUGUCUUUCUGUCUGACUUCACUUAGUCUGAUAAUCUCUAGGUCCAUCCAUGUUGCUACAAAUGGCAUGAUUUCAUUCUUUUUUUAUGACUGAGUAGUAUUCCAUUGUAUACAUGCACCACAUUUUCUUUAUCAACAGUAGUCCAAUAAAAGUUUUAGAAAAGAUGCAGAAAGAAAUGCAGGUUUAAUUAAAAACUGAUAUACUGACUGAAUUAGAUAUGAGUGAAGUAAUGUCUUUGAUAUGCUUCAAAAUAACGGGCAGCGGAGAAGGAGGGUGGGAGCACAGAUGAAAAAGUUUAGGUAGGAGUUAUUUGUUGAAGUUGGGAAAAGGGUACAUGGGGACAUAUUAUACUGUUCUAAGUACUCUAGUGUUUGAAAAAUUCUGUAAUGAAGUGUCUUGAGAUGCUGAUGCUGGAAACUUACAUUAUUGUGCACUGAAAUUUAUUGUACACAUUCUUGGGUCCUCAUUUCUUUGCUGAAUGAAAGAAACUCUCCCCACUCUUCGUUGGGGGCAUGAAGAACAGGGUGCGAUAAAGUGAUUCCCAGGAUUCUGGCUGGGUGAUUGGUGGUGACAGAGGUGCCCUUCACCAAAGGGGCACUGGGACAGGGCCGCAAGAGGCCCUGGGGAGAGGUUGCAAAGAGGCACACGGCAUGUACACUUGUGGACAAGCUGAGUUUGUGAUGCCGGCGUUGUAAGGUGGAUGGGAAAGGCUUCCCACAACCUCCCUGGCUCUCCCAUUACCCCUCAGAUACAAAUUACCAUCUUUUUUUUUUUUCUUCCUUAUGGCCAUAUAUGGAAGUUCCCAGGCCAGGGAUUAAAUCUGAGCUGCAGCUGCCACCUACGCUGCGGCAGUGGCAAUGCCCGUUCUUUGACUCACUGUGCAGGGCCAGGGAUUGAACCUGCGCCUCUGCAGCAACCUGAGCCACUGCUGUCGGAUUCUUAGCCCACUGCGCCACAGCGGGAACUCCCAAAUUACUGCCUUAAUUCAGGUUCAUUCGGUCUUUCAGAACUUGGGUCAAAUCUCUGUGCUGACAGACCACAAGUGAGCGGGAGAAGGGCUCCCUUACGUGGACCUCGUUGCUGCCCAGAGAUUUUCUCUUUCUCUGGACGGGCUGUGCUGCAUUACCACAUGCUGCUCAUCCAUGCGCAUUUCAUUCAUUGCCAUCAUGGGAAAAUGUAGUCUGUAUGGUGCUUGGGUGCAAUUUGUGAAGGAUCCAGGGAAUUUUGCCCAGAUUUAGGUAAAUAUGUGCUAACAAUUAAUUCAUGUUGAGCUUUUCAGACUAUGUUUUAAGGGAAAACGUGGCCAGUGAUUCAGUUUUGUGGUGUACUUUUAUGUUAUUUGAACAACCUGAACUUUGUAAUUGUUGUUGUUGUUGUCUUUUUAGGGCUGUACUCUCAGCAUAUGGAGGUUCCCAGGCUAGGGGUCCAAUCAGAGCUGUAACCGCCAGCCUAUGCCACAGCCACAGCAACGCCAGAUCUGAGCCGUGUCUGCGACCUACACCACAGCUCACGGCAAUGCCGGAUCCUUAACCCACUGGGCGAGGCCAGGGAUCGAACCUGUGUCCUCAUGAAUGCUAGUCAGAUUCGUUUCUGCUGAGCCACGAUGGGAACUCCAAACUUAGUAUUUUCUGAAAACAAGUAGGCACUGUGUGUUUUUAUUUUACAUGGUGCUUAUCUUUCUCCUUUUUUUUUUUUUGGCAUUUGGAAGUUCCUGGGCUAGGGUUUGAACCUGCACCUCAGCUGUGACCCCAGCCACAACAGUGACAACAUUGGAUCAUCAACCUGCCGAGCCACCAAGGAACUCCAUCCUGGUGCUUAUUUUUAAAUACAAAGAGUUAUAAACACAUCUGGAGGAGACCUUGCCGGGCACGUCAGCCAUCCUUUGUCCUUUUAUAAACAAGAAAGCUGAAGUGAUCAUAGAUUAAGUGACUCGCCUAUAGCAACAAACCAAAUAUACCAAGUUAAGAUUAAUCAACAUGUUUGCCCUGUAAAUUGAUUUUCAGUAAGUUGGCCUGACCCAGGAAGUCUGUCUUGCAAACACCACCUGAUGUAUAAACAAAACUUUCACCAAUGAAAUUACUGCUUAAAAGGCUAAUAGAAGGUAUAAGACCCACACAUUCUAGUUCCCAUCCUUGAGCUAAAGGUCUGUUUUUUCACUAUUUCUUCCUCCAUUGGUUUCUUUCUUUCUUUUUGCUUUUUAGGGCUGCAUGUGUGACACCAUGUAGGGCACGGUGUAAAGCUGAUAGCUAUAGCUCUGAUUUGACCCCUAGCCUGGGAACUUCCAUGUGCCAUUAAAAAAAAAAAGGCAGAAAGAAAAGACAAGAUGAGAAUAAGCUUUCCCUAAUGUUUAAUUUUGGAAGAAGGUGUUGUAAAGAGAUUUUAGGAAAAUUGCCUAUGAAGAUCAACAUUUUCUGAACCAGGCUGUUGGAAAAGCAUGAAAUGAAGUUUGGAGAGAUGACUUUUAAAAGUAGAAAAAUGGGAGUUCCCGUCAUGGCACAGUGGUUAACGAAUCCGACUAGGAACCAUGAGGUUGCGGGUUCGGUCCCUGCCCUUGCUCAGUGGGUUAACGAUCCGGCGUUGCCGUGAGCUGUGGUGUAGGUUGCAGACGCGGCUUGGAUCCCGAGUUGCUGUGGCUCUGGCGUAGGCCGGUGGCUAUAGUUUCGAUCCGACCCCUAGCCUGGGAACUUCCAUAUGCCGCGGGAGCGGCCCAAGAAAU